rnacentral:rRNA from 1 species
AUUGAACGCUGGCGGCAUGCCUAACACAUGCAAGUCGAGCAAGCAGAUCCCUUCGGGGUGAAGCUAGCGGCGGACGGGUGAGUAACACGUGGGCAACCUGCCUCAUAGAGGGGAAUAGCCUUCCGAAAGGAAGAUUAAUACCGCAUAAGAUCGUAGCUUCGCAUGAAGCAGCAAUUAAAGGAGCAAUCCGCUAUGAGAUGGGCCCGCGGCGCAUUAGCUAGUUGGUGAGGUAACGGCUCACCAAGGCCACGAUGGGUAGCCGGACUGAGAGGGUGCUGGGCAACAUUGGGGAUGGGACACGGGCCAGAAUCCUACGGGAGGCAGCAGUGGGGAAUAUUGCACAAUGGGGGAAACCCUGAUGCAGCGAUGCAGCGUGAGUGAUGACAGACUUCGGGUUGUAAAGCUCUGUCUUCGGGGACGAUAAUGACGGUAACCGAGGAGGAAGCAACGGCUAACUACGUGCCAGCCGCCGCCGUAA